rnacentral:rRNA from 1 species
CCUACGGGAGGCAGCAGUGGGGAAUAUUGCACAAUGGGGGAAACCCUGAUGCAGCGACGCCGCGUGAGUGAAGAAGUAUUUCGGUAUUUAAAGCUCUAUCAGCAGGGAAGAAAAUGACGUUACCUUACUAAGACGCCCCGGCUAACUACGUGCCAGCAGCCGCGGUAAUACGGAGGGGGCAAGCGUGAUCCGGAUUUACUGGGUGUAAUGGGAGCGUAGGCGGCAAGGUAAGCCAGAAGUGAAAGCCGACGGCUAAACUGCGGGACUGCUUUUGAAACGAUCUAGCUAGAUUGCAGGAGAGGUAAGUGGAAUGCCUAGUGUAGCGGUGAAAUGCAUAGAUAUUAGGAGGAACACCAGUGGCGAAGGCGGCUUACUGGACUGUAAAUGACGCUGAGGCACGAAAGCGUGGGGAGCAAACAGGAUUAGAUACCCUGGUAGUC